rnacentral:rRNA from 1 species
CCUACGGGCGGCAGCAGUGGGGAAUAUUGCACAAUGGGGGAAACCCUGAUGCAGCGAAGCCGCGUGAGUGAAGAAGUAAUUAGUUAUGUAAAGCUCUAUCAGCAGGGAAGAAAAUGACGGUACCUGAGUACGAAGCCCCGGCUAACUAAGUGCCAGCAUCCGCGGUAAUACGUAGGGGGCAAGCGUUAUCCGGGUUUAUUGGGUUUAAAGGGUGCGUAGGCUGUGAGGUAAGUUAGCGGUGUAAUGCCCCCGCGCAACGGGGUGAAGUGCCAUUGAUACUGCCUGGCUGGAAUGCGGAUGCCGUGGGAGGAAUGUGUGGUGUAGCGGUGAAAUGCAUAGAUAUCACACAGAACACCGAUUGCGAAGGCAUCUCACGAAUCCGCGAUUGACGCUGAUGCACGAAAGCGUGGGUAUCAAACAGGAUUAGAUACCCCGGUAGUC